AUGCACUCUUCUGUGUGCAUUACUAGUUUUAAUCUCCUGUGCAUCUCUGCAUUGCUCCUGGACCUCCCGAUGCACUCUUCUGUGUGCAUUACUAGUUUUAAUCUCCUGUGCAUCUCUGCAUUGCUCCUGGACCUCCCGAUGCACUCUUCUGUGUGCAUUACUAGUUUUAAUCUCCUGUGCAUCUCUGCAUUGCUCCUGGACCUCCCGAUGCACUCUUCUGUGUGCAUUACUAGUUUUAAUCUCCUGUGCAUCUCUGCAUUGCUCCUGGACCUCCCGAUGCACUCUUCUGUGUGCAUUACUAGUUUUAAUCUCCUGUGCAUCUCUGCAUUGCUCCUGGACCUCCCGAUGCACUCUUCUGUGUGCAUUACUAGUUUUAAUCUCCUGUGCAUCUCUGCAUUGCUCCUGGACCUCCCGAUGCACUCUUCUGUGUGCAUUACUAGUUUUAAUCUCCUGUGCAUCUCUGCAUUGCUCCUGGACCUCCCGAUGCACUCUUCUGUGUGCAUUACUAGUUUUAAUCUCCUGUGCAUCUCUGCAUUGCUCCUGGACCUCCCGAUGCACUCUUCUGUGUGCAUUACUAGUUUUAAUCUCCUGUGCAUCUCUGCAUUGCUCCUGGACCUCCCGAUGCACUCUUCUGUGUGCAUUACUAGUUUUAAUCUCCUGUGCAUCUCUGCAUUGCUCCUGGACCUCCCGAUGCACUCUUCUGUGUGCAUUACUAGUUUUAAUCUCCUGUGCAUCUCUGCAUUGCUCCUGGACCUCCGAUGCACUCUUCUGUGUGCAUUACUAGUUUUAAUCUCCUGUGCAUCUCUGCAUUGCUCCUGGACCUCCCGAUGCACUCUUCUGUGUGCAUUACUAGUUUUAAUCUCCUGUGCAUCUCUGCAUUGCUCCUGGACCUCCCGAUGCACUCUUCUGUGUGCAGUACUAGUUUUAAUCUCCUGUGCAUCUCUGCAUUGCUCCUGGACCUCCCGAUGCACUCUUCUGUGUGCAUUACUAGUUUUAAUCUCCUGUGCAUCUCUGCAUUGCUCCUGGACCUCCCGAUGCACUCUUCUGUGUGCAUUACUAGGUUUUAAUCUCCUGUGCAUCUCUGCAUUGCUCCUGGACCUCCCGAUGCACUCUUCUGUGUGCAUUACUAGGUUGCAAUCCGCUGUGCAUCUCUGCAUUGCUCCUGGACCUCACAAUGCACUCUUCUGUAUGCAUUACUAGAAGAAUGUGGGUAUUUUUUAAAAAUGGUGUUUGGGCAGCAUGUAGCAACUGGACACAGUCACAAUCAUGUAGUUUUCCUGAUAUUAUCCAGACCACUUUCCUUUUUCAAAUACAUUGAAGGUGUCUGUCCAAGAUAUAUCUAACUUAAUGAGUUACCAAUUAAUUGCUCAGCAUAAUCAUACAGGAAUUAAAUGUUAAAAGAAGGAAAGAAAUAAGCAUGCAUUAAAUGCCUACUGUAUACCAAUAACUUUACAAAUAUAAUCUCAUUUGAUCCUCAUAACAAUCCUGUGAAGUAGGUACUAUUAUUACCCCCAAUUUACAGUUAAGGAAACUGAGGCAGGUAGAGCUGAAGGGAAUGGCCCAGGGUUACACAGCUAGUGUCUGAGACUGGAUUUGAACCAGAUGUUUUAGACUUCAGACUCAGCAGUCUAUUUGCUGAGCCACUGAGGUGUCAGAAUUUGUUUGACUCCUAGUCUUUUAUGGCACCAAAUCUAGCACUCUUUCCAUGACAUCAUACUACAUCAUGCUUUUCAUCUGUUUAGUUGUCUCUGUGAAAGUAAAUAGACUGACUCUCUUUUGAGUGGUCUGGAUCUCAUUGAAGGAGACCCAUUAUAUACUGUUCCAGAAUUGACAAUAAUUGAUAUCAAGCCACCUGCAAACGGGCAUCUGUAAAACCUACAGAUCAAAAGGUGAAAGAGAAAAAAUUAGAAAAAAGCAAAAACAAUAACAACAAAAAGAUGAAAAUACUGUGCUUUGAUCCAUAUUCAGACUCCAUAGUUCUCCCUCUGGAUGCAUAUGAUACAUCACAAAUCUAUUGGAACUUGUAAUGUUCUUUUUUCGGUUUUCUGGUGGUUUCUGGGAGCAGCCUUCUUUUCAGUUCAGUAAUCACCACAAGAGCCGCCAGGUGAUAAAGUCCAGAUUCUUUAUUAUCUCCUUCCUGGGGCUGGGAAGCUUUCUGGACAGCCUUUCAGACCGGCCUUGGUCUCAGCGGAGAAAUGCAGGAGGCCAGACCAGCCACCAGGAAAAUCGAAGAUUGAAUGAAUUGCUCUCCUUGGUUCUGAGAGCUUGAGCUCCCACCCCCAGUUCUCUUGUCUUCUCUGCCUCUGCCUCUGAGGGCUUUCUGAGUCCCAGCUUAUAUGCUCUACACUGAGUAUAAACCAAUCAUUUUAUCAUUAGGAAACCAUUAUUUGUUGUAAGAUUAAAUCAAUCAUACUGAAUUUAGAGAACUAUUAAGCACCAUGCUAAACUAGAUCACCAUUGUCUCAUCAAUUCCACUUACUCAGUACCUUGUAAGAAGUUCAGAGUUCUGGCCCAUUAACAGGAACUGGCCUGAAUCAUCUCAUUGUUGAAAAGCGCCAAGUCUAUCAGAAUUGAUUAUCACAUAAUCUUGUUGCCAUGUACAAUGAUAUCCUGAUUCUGCUCACUUCACUCAGCAUCAGUUCAUGUAGGUCUCUCCAGGUGGGUAGGGGAAAGGGAGGGAGAAAAAUUUGAAAAACAAGAUUUUGCAAGGGUGAAUGCUGAAAACUAUCUUUACGUGUAUUUUGAAAAAUAAAAAAAAACUAUUGUUAUAAAAAUGUAAUUGGAAAAAAAUAAAAUGUUAAAAACUUUUUCCAAAAGGUAGGAGCUACUAGAUCCUUCAAUCUAGGCUUUGGGCUUCUGUAUAUAUUUUCUGUUUUGUGUUUUAUUCCUUGUCCUAGAUGAUCCUGAAGAGGGACAUAUCUAUCAUUGGAGACAGCCUUAAAAGUUUUAAGAAAUCAGAUCUCCUGGGUACUUCAGUCAGAAGUUGUUGGAAUCUUUAAAAACUGUUAAGCCAUUGGAGUUGAUAGAGACAGUAGUUAUCUAAUUUAGCAUGGCUCAAUAUGAUUGAUUUGAUCUUAGAAGGACAUAUUUUGGGCCAGAACUUGAAACAAGGUACUAAGUACAAUUGAUAGAAACAAUGCUUGUGUUCACACCUUUAGAGAGCUCAUAAGUAUCUAAGUACUCAAUGGAGUUCACACAUUUGGGAGAUUUCAGGGCUUAGUUUGGCUUAGUAUGAGAUAUCCGAAUUCUCACCUCCCUUAGGGCCAGAGAGCACUCUGGGAGAUAACCCAGAAUCUCUCUCUCUCCAGAAGGAGGAGUUAACCUUUGGGAGAUCAUAUAUAUACAGGAAUCUCUUAGAGCUUGAUAGAGUUUUCUUGGAAACUGGGGAGUUUUUCUUGGGAACAUUGACUGGGGUUGGAGAGGAGCACUCUGGGAGGAAGCGCACAAGCCCUAUCUUCGAGGCAAGAGAUUCAUUGCAUCUUCCAACUUGGUGCUGGCUGGAGGCUGAAGAAAGCAGAGACAGAAGCCAAGGACAAAGCUGCAAGAUCUCUUGGAACCAAGCAGAGAGAUAGGCCUGAGCUAACCGGGCUAUAUUGAGAAAACAAUAAAAGAUCUGAACUUUUAUCACCUGGCUGUGUUUUGGAAAAAGAACACCACAAGAAGUGAUGAACAGCAAGAAGAAUUUCUAAAUCUUAAAUGGAUGCCCAGCAAAAGGAGAAUGGAUCCAACCCUUGCAUUUCUUUCUAGCGUACUAUGGAGUCUCUUUAUUUGUUGUUCUUUUUUAGUUAUUUUCAGUCAUGUCCAAUUCUUCAUGACCUCUUUUGAAGUUUUCUUGGCAAAGAUACUGGAGUGGUUUGCCAUUUCCUUGUCCAGCUCAUUUUACAGAUGAGGAAAUUGAGUCUAACAGGAUUAAGUGAUUUACCCAGAAUUACAGAGCUAGGAAAUGUUUGAGGCCAGAUUUGAACUAGGCCCAGUGGUGUUUCCACUGCCACCUAGCUGCAUCUAUGUCAAUUAUUUUUCAAUAUUUUUGUGCGAUUUUACUGUGCAUUUCUUAAAGUAAGUCAAGGAAGUUUUCUUUUUUUGUGGCAUUUUCCUAGAAUACCUGUAAUCUAUGAAUUAUCGCUUCAUAUGCUAUCAAGUUCAAUACAAUUAUUGCUUUGUAUAAUCUGCACAAUCUGUUUUUAAAAAUUGUUUUCUGUUAUUUUACCUUUCUAUAUUUCUCUUAUUUAGGUCAGGCAUUUUGCAAAGUAAUGUGGAUCCUUUGCUUUGUUUUCAGAGAAUUUAUUGAUAUGGCAAAUGUCUCUGCCUUUCUCCAGUCUUGAAUAAGAAUUUAUUUAGGGAAGACAUCAUUUUUGUCCUAAUUCUUUGAUAUUCUCAGAUCUUUGAUUAAACAUCUGAACCAUUCUGGAGAUUCUUGAAUUGCUCUAUUAUCUUUCCAAGGGCUUGCAAAAGUCUAUCAAGAGCUUAUACACUAUAUGGCAAUACAGUUUUUGCUUUGCUCUCAAGGAGCUUACAUUCUGUUUGGGGAGACAAUAUGUAUCUAUAUAGAUAUAUGCAAAAUAAAUACAAGUUAGUUUGGGGAGG
rnacentral:lncRNA from 1 species